rnacentral:tRNA from 1 species
AGGCACAUAGCUCAGUGGUAGAGCACUACCUUGACACGGUAGGGGUCGGCGGUUCAACCCCGCCUGUGCCUA